rnacentral:rRNA from 1 species
ACCCCACUGCUAUCGGGAUGGGACUAAGACAUGCUAGUCGCGCGCCUUCUAGCCACGCUGGAGGCGCGGCACACAGCUCAGUAGCACGUGGCUAACCUGCCCUUGGGACGGGAACAACCCCGGGAAACUGGGGCUAAUUCCCGAUAGGUGAAGAUCCCUGGAAUGGGUUUUUGCCCAAAAGACGCUUAGGUCAUGCUUCUAAGCGUUGCCCAAGGAUGGGGCCGCGGCCGAUCAGGCUGUUGGUGAGGUAAUGGCUCACCGAACCUUUGACCGGUUCGGGCCGUGGGAGCGGUAGCCCGGAGAUGGGCACUGAGACAAGGGCCCAGGCCCUACGGGGCGCAGCAGUCGCGAAAACUUCGCAAUAAGCGAAAGCUUGACGGGGCCAUCCCGAGUGCCAUCUGCUGAGGAUGGCUUUUACCCAGUGUAGAUAGCUGGGGGAGUAAGGAGAGGGCAAGUCUGGUGUCAGCCGCCGCGGUAAUACCAGCUCUCCGAGUUGUGGGGACGUUUAUUGAGCCUGAAGCAUCCGUAGCCGGCUGGGCAAGUCCCCUGUUAAAUCCAGCGAUAAAUCGUUGGCGUACGGGGGAUACUGCUCGGCUAGGGGGCGGGAGAGGCCGUCGGUAUUCUUGGGGUAGGGGUGAAAUCCUAUAAUCCCAGGAGGACCACCAGUGGCGAAGGCUGUCGGCUAGAACGCGCUCGACGGUGAGGGAUGAAAGCUGGGGGAGCGAACCGGAUUAGAUACCCGGGUAGUCCCAGCUGUAAACGAUGCAGGCUAGGUGUUAGGGCGGCUACGUGCCGCUCUAGUGCCGCAGGGAAGCCGUUAAGCCUGCCGCUUGGGGAGUACGGCCGCAAGGCUGAAACUUAAAGGAAUUGGCG